GAGUAUGAACCCUUCCUUUGCUUUUGUAGAAUGCAGAGAGCAGUUUGCAGCAGAAGAAUGAAGCCAUCACAUCCUUUGAAGGAAAAACCAACCAAGUUAUGUCCAGCAUGAAACAAAUGGAAGAAAGGUUGCAGCACUCGGAGCGGGCGAGGCAGGGGGCUGAGGAGCGGAGCCACAAGCUGCAGCAGGAGCUGGGCGGGAGGAUUGGCGCCCUGCAGCUGCAGCUCUCCCAGCUGCACGAGCAAUGGUAA
rnacentral:lncRNA from 1 species